GUCUUAUCUAAAAAAUCCAUGACGAGCAACAAGAAUGUAAUCCUACCUCCAGGUCUGUUCAUACAAAACAAUCCUGUAGGAGAGAUGUAACCCUCUCAGACCUGGCCUUGGCUGUCCUUAUGGUUCAUUUUGCUGUGCUAGUGAGAAGUCUGUAUGCUAGGGUUUGAAACAGUGAGAGCUGAUCAGAUUGCCCUGGGUGUUCUUGGGAUACAUGUCACUCCACU